UACGAAGGGUGCAAACGUUGCUCGGAAUUAUUGGGCGUAAAGCGCACGUAGGCGGCUCAGUAAGUCGGGUGUGAAACCCUCAGGCUCAACCUGGGGACGCCACUCGAUACUGCUGUGGCUAGAGUCCAGUAGGGGAGUGUGGAAUUCCCGGUGUAGCGGUGAAAUGCGCAGAUAUCGGGAGGAACACCAAUAGCGAAGGCAGCUCGCUGGGACGGUACUGACGCUGAGGCGCGAAAGCGUGGGGAGCGAACAGG
rnacentral:rRNA from 1 species